rnacentral:rRNA from 1 species
CCUACGGGUGGCUGCAGUGGGGAAUAUUGGACAAUGGGGGCAACCCUGAUCCAGCCAUGCCGCGUGUGUGAAGAAGGCCCUCGGGUUGUAAAGCACUUUCAGUGAGGAAGAACGCCUGGUGGUUAAUACCCAUCAGGAAAGACAUCACUCACAGAAGAAGCACCGGCUAACUCCGUGCCAGCAGCCGCGGUAAUACGGAGGGUGCGAGCGUUAAUCGGAAUUACUGGGCGUAAAGCGCGCGUAGGUGGCUUGAUAAGCCGGUUGUGAAAGCCCGGGCUCAACCUGGGAACGGCAUCCGGAACUGUCAAGCUAGAGUGCAGGAGAGGAAGGUAGAAUUCCCGGUGUAGCGGUGAAAUGCGUAGAGAUCGGGAGGAAUACCAGUGGCGAAGGCGGCCUUCUGGACUGACACUGACACUGAGGUGCGAAAGCGUGGGUAGCAAACAGGAUUAGAUACCCGUGUAGUC